GCCAGGCAUGGUGGUGUACACCUGUAAUCCCAGCAGCUCAGGAGGCUGGGGCAGGAGAAUUGCAAGUUUAAGGCCAGCCUCCACAACUUAGCAAUACCAUGUCUCAA
rnacentral:sRNA from 1 species